rnacentral:lncRNA from 1 species
UUACAUGUAGGAAUCUUUGAUCUAAAAAAGGAUUUUUCUUACCCUUAGGUGUUCCGACGUUCACUAAAUGUGUGAUGAUUUCAGCAGUUAAGAGAUCCUGACUACAGAACAAGGGGGAAAAAAAAUCAAAAACGCAUUGGAGGUACCAGAGGGUUACAGAAAGGAAGAAGAGAACAUCGAAAUCUGCCCCAGCAGCAAUUUCGGGAAAUUCAAGUAAUGCCCCCCUGUGUGGCCCUCUGGAAUCGUACCUGGUAAGGGUAAAGGGCAGUGUGUCCUCUAUGUCUGUGCUAC